GUAUGUGGAUUGCCAAUGAAGCAAAUAUAGCAUAUGUAGUUUGUACUUUUCAGUGUGCAAUAACGUUCAUAUGUAAUAUCUGAAGAAUUGACCCUUCUCCUGAACCUGUUUGCUUUGUUGGGUUUUUACACUUGUUCUUGCUUUAUAUUUCUAGUAACAACUCUUUCUUCAGUCAAAGAGAUGACAUCCCUUUACUUAGCCAUUUCUAAGAACACGUUAUUUGAUUAACAAACUCAGCUAAUUACUGCAAAAGAUAACUUACAUUUGUAUCAACGGCCUUGAACUGCGACAUUUACCAUUACUGUUUCUACUCCCUAGAUCCAUCAAAUGGUCAGAUACUGAAAUUUGUUCUUUCCUGUAGAUCAUCAAUGUGUAUGAUCAGAAGUAUGAGAGCGGCGCAUCAUUCUGGCCAGAUGUGCAUCGUCGUAUAAUUGUAGGUUUGGUUAUAUCCCAGCUUCUAUUGCUGGGACUGUUGAGCACCAAAAAUGUUGCCAGAUCAAAUGUAAUACUGAUUGCACUUCCAAUUCUGACAAUCUGGUUCCAUAUAUUUUGCAAGGGCCGAUUUGAGUCGGCAUUUGUCAAAUUCCCCUUGCAGGAUGCAAUGGUGAAGGAUACACUAGAACGGGCGACAGAACCAAACCUUAAUUUAAAAGCAUAUCUCAAGGAUGCUUAUGUACACCCAGUUUUUAAGGGUGUAGAGUUUGAGAGACCGACAGCACUUGACGAUGAGGAGAAUAAUCCACUUGUUCCAACCAAGAGAUGUAGGGGUAGUAAGACUCAGUCUGAAGAGGGCGUCUGAGACACGGGUUGUAUAGUCAGUUUUGUCACCCAAAACAGAUAGAAAGAACUUAAGAAAGCGGUUAUUCUUUUUUCUGUUUCCCAUUAUAGCUUGAGUUGGGAUUUCUGCAUUACAAUGUAACUCAAUCAGAAUGUACGGAAUGCAGAACUCAUACGCGCAUAAUAGAUGAUGAUGAUGAUGAUGA